GACGGAGGAUGCAAGCGUUAUCCGGAAUUAUUGGGCGUAAAGGCGUCCGCAGGUGGACAUACAAGUCUGCUGUCAAAGUGCAAGAGCUUAACUCUGUAAAGGCGGUGGAAACUGUAGGUCUGAGUAUGGUAGGGGUAGAGGGAAUUCCCGGUGUAGCGGUGAAAUGCGUAGAUAUCGGGAAGAACACCAGUGGCGAAAGCGCUCUACUGGGCCAUAACUGACACUGAGGGACGAAAGCUAGGGGAGCGAA
rnacentral:rRNA from 1 species